CAGCCACAUCAUGUUGACACACCAGUUCCCAUACGAUCACCGAAGUUAAACAACAUCGAGUCUGGUCAGUACCUAAAUGGGUGACCGUUUGGGAAUACAAAUGCUGUAAG